UACGUAGGUGACAAGCGUUGUCCGGAUUUACUGGGCGUAAAGAGCGCGCAGGCGGUCGAUCAAGUCGAGUGUGAAAGCCCCCGGCUCAACUGGGGAGGGUCAUUCGAUACUGAUCGACUCGAAGGCAGGAGAGGGUAGUGGAAUUCCCGGUGUAGUGGUGAAAUGCGUAGAUAUCGGGAGGAACACCAGUGGCGAAGGCGAGUCCCUGGACAACACCUGACACUGAGGCACGAAAGCUAGGGGAGCAAACGGG
rnacentral:rRNA from 1 species